rnacentral:lncRNA from 1 species
ACUUUCCCUAUACUAUGGGACCAGGCAAGAACCAGGCAGCACAGGCCGACGUGGUAGAAGCCUCAUCAGCCCUCGCCUCAUCUUGAAUCAUCAUUUGAACAUCUGAACUGGACAAGCUGGGCUCGUAGCCAUAACCCUAGGCACCAUCAGUGAAUGGACAUGUGUUCGUAGUCGACACGCUCAGGCAACCUACUCGCGUCAAGUCGUAGAGUCAACGCCCAGUGCUGUCGUACACCGGUCAGGCUUAGCAGGUCAUGCAUCAUAUCGCACCGGGUUACUACAUACACCAGAGUAUUUCGUUCCGCCUAUUCAGAAACAGGAAGAGGUGGUAUUUACGAACUCUAAAUCGGGACUCUUUAACCCACAACAGUAUACUUUUUAUAUAAAGACCGGGCUAGAGUCAGUGGGAGAUUAACUGUAUGUUAUACCUCGAAGGAUGACCUGGUCAUCAGGUAAUCUAUUUUCCUUUGGAAAUAUGGAGAAUUAUAUUGUGAUAUAAUUGAGUACCAAGACGACAUAAACAGUGAUAGGAUAUACUCCUAUCUAAGUUCACAGUGAUUCGGAAUCAUUUUAUUUUUGUCAAUUAUUUGCAUGUUUAAUUAUAUUGAGCCGAUGGCUCUUAAAUAAACUUUUUGUACCCUAUA